UUUGGGUGGAGCAUUGGUAACAGAGGGGGGCUUUGCUACUUCAUAUGGAGAUGGAUAUGGACUUCAUUCAGGUGGUGCUGACAAAGGUCCUCUAUAUGGCAUGAGUUUUGGUUCUUGGGAUGCAUUUGAGAAGUCUCGCCUCGGGUGUCGCUGAAAUCCGUUGAUUUUUUUUUUUUCCUUCUGCUUUUCCUUGUGUCUCAAUCUGUAAAUUUUCUGUCCAUUAUAUAACCUUUCAUUCUCAGGCCCCCUGUAAAUGAGGCUAGUUGUAAAUGAUUUACAAGUUGUGUUUGAAUGCUUAUUUAAGCUUGUAAAGGUCUUUUUAUUCAGAAGAUUCAGCCUAACAGAAUUUUUAAUUGUUUCUAUUAUUUUUUCUUUUACAUUGUAAAUGAUGUACCGGCGUUUUAAACAGAUUUUACUGGCGUUUUUUAAUCUC